rnacentral:rRNA from 1 species
GGUUACUGCUAUCGAGGUUCGACUAAGCCAUGCGAGUCGAAUGUAGCAAUACAUGGCGUACUGCUCAGUAACACGUGGACAACCUACCCUUAGGUCGGGGAUAAACCCGGGAAACUGGGUAUAAUACCCGAUAGAUCUCGACUGCUGGAAUGCAUCGAGAUCGAAAGCUCCGGCGCCUAAGGAUGGGUCUGCGGCCUAUCAGGUAGUAGUGGGUGUAGCGUACCUACUAGCCUACGACGGGUACGGGUUGUGAGAGCAAGAGCCCGGAGAUGGAUUCUGAGACACGAAUCCAGGCCCUACGGGGUGCAGCAGGCGCGAGAACUUUACAAUGCUGGAAACAGCGAUAAGGGGACCUCGAGUGCCAGGUUACAAAUCUGGCUGUCGUGAUGCCUAAAAAGCAUUGCAUACAAGGGCCGGGCAAGACCGGUGCCAGCCGCCGCGGUAACACCGGCGGCUCGAGUGGUAACCGUUAUUAUUGGGUCUAAAGGGUCUGUAGCCGGCCGGAUAAGUCUCUUGGGAAAUCCUGCAGCUCAACUGUUGGGCUUUCAGGAGAUACUGUCUGGCUCGAGGCCGGGAGAGGUGAGAGGUACUUCAGGGGUAGGGGUGAAAUCUUGUAAUCCUUGAAGGACCACCAGUGGCGAAGG